rnacentral:rRNA from 1 species
GAUGAACGCUGGCGGCGUGCCUAACACAUGCAAGUCGAACGGAAAGGCCCUGCUUUUGCGGGGCGCACGAGUGGCGAACGGGUGAGUAACACGUGUGUAACCUGCACUUGACUUUGGGAUAUAUUUAGGAAACUGGGGCUAAUACCGGAUAGGAGCUCUUGCUGCACGGUGGGGGUUGGAAAGAUUCGGCGGUUUGGGAUCGACUAGCGGCUUAUCCGCUUGAUGGGGGGGUAGUGGCGUACCAAGGCUACGACGGGUAGGCGGCCUGAGAGGGUGAACGGCCACAAUGGGACUGCGGGACGGCCCAGUCGCCUACGGGAGGCAGCAGUCGAGAGUAUUGCACAAUGGGCGGAAGCCAGAUGCAGCAACGUCGCGUGCGGAAUGACGGCCUUCGGGUGAUAAACCGCUGUCGCCUGUGACGAAGCGGGAGUGACGGUAAUGGGUAAAGAAGCACCGGCUAACUACGUG